GACUCCGUGAAGCUGGAUUCGCUAGUAAUCGCGCAUCAGCCAUGGCGCGGUGAAUACGUUCCCGGGCCUUGUACACACCGCCCGUCAAGCCAUGGAAGCCGGGGGCGCUUGAAGUGCGUUGCCGCAAGGCGCGCCCUAGAGCGAAACCGGUGACUGGGGCUAAGUCGUAACAAGGUAGC
rnacentral:rRNA from 1 species